GACGUAGGGCGCGAGCGUUGUCCGGAUUUAUUGGGCGUAAAGAGCUCGUAGGCGGCUUGUCGCGUCGACUGUGAAAACUCGGGGCUCAACUCCGAGCUUGCAGUCGAUACGGGCAGGCUAGAGUUCGGUAGGGGGAGACUGGAAUUCCUGGUGUAGCGGUGGAAUGCGCAGAUAUCAGGAGGAACACCGGUGGCGAAGGCGGAUCUCUGGGCCAUAACUGACGCUGAGGAGCGAAAGCAUGGGGAGCGAACAGG
rnacentral:rRNA from 1 species